AGCUACAUAGCUCAGGGGAAGAGUGAGUUACCUUGCUUCUCAAUAAUUAUCAUCAUCACAAUGUACUGACAAUCAAUCAAGGCGCCGGGCUCAUAACCCGGAGGUCGCUGGAUCGAAACCAGUUGUAGCUA